rnacentral:rRNA from 1 species
UACGGGGGGGCAAGGCGUUGUUCGGAAUUACUGGGCGUAAAGGGCUCGUAGGCGGCCAACUAAGUCGGACGUGAAAUCCCCAGGCUCAACCGUGGGAACCUGCAUCCGAUACUGGAUGGCUUGAAUUCGGGAGAGGGAUGGCGAGAAUUCCAGGUGUAGCGGUGAAAUGCGUAGAUAUCUGGAGGAAUACCGGUGGCGAAGGCGGCAGUCCGUGGACCGACGACUUGACGCUGAGGAGCGAAAGCCAGGG